UGUAUGGACAAUAAAACAAUGUGUCAGAACCAAGGAUCAAGAUUAAUUCAUUUUGUUCACCUGAGAUCUGAAAUGCAAA
rnacentral:snoRNA from 1 species